AGGAAUUGGAAUUAAAAGGUUUGUUUAUUUGAUACAAAACCUUGUUCUGGAAUUAAUGUAGUCUCCUUUAUAUUUUCAAGAUUUCUCCUUUUAUCUUGUGUAAUUUGGGGAUAAUUUCUGAAGCUUGUGUCCUUUUGUUUUUCACAAACCAGGAAACUACACAUAGAGCGGUUUAGAGGAUGAAGAAGAUCGAGUAAGUGCUGAUAUCAACAAAGAAGGAUCCAUGAACUUUUGCACUAAGGUACACUUGUUUUCUCUUUUUGGCUGUGUGUAUGUAUAUUGAGGUUGUCAUUAAAAAAUUUAAAGCAAGAUUGGUUAACUGUUUUAAGGUCUAGGAGAUCAGAUCUGUUCCUAUAGAACUGUUAAUAGCCCAUCUUGGAACAAGGAGAAGGUAAAAUCCUGAUAACAAGGUGACGUUUAGUUUUAUGCAAAAGCGAUAUUUGAUUAACUAAGGUUCCUUAAAAAAAGUGAUGGGAAUAGAAGAGUCUAAGAUUGUGAUAAUGAUUGUUCUGUGAUUUCAGCUUUUCAACAGCUGAUUCAAAAAGAGUUGAUGAGUAUGAGGCGUCAAAAGUAGAAGGUUUCUUUACCUGUUACUACUGAACCUUGUUUUGCUUAGCUCUCUUGCGAAUAAGGCUUAAUAAAUUGGUAGACACUUUCACACCGGGUCGACAUAACUAUGUCAUCAUGUACUUACUAAGAGAGAAGGUUUCAAUGGCUUUUGUCGACAUAAUUACAUCAUCAGGUACUUACUUAAAGAUGCAAUUUUCUCUUUAGUUUAACUUUUGUCUGAAAUAUUAGUAUCAUUGUUUUGGUUACUUUUUUUUGUUUGUUUUCUUUUCAGCUGUUUUCUUGUGGUUUCUUGCAUGUGGAUUUGAUUCAGCUGCUAAUCAGUUGGGAAAUCGUUGACGAGGUACUUGUUACAAAAGUUUUGAUCUGUUUUUUUGUUCUUCUUUAUGUUCAUUCUUAGUAAGGGUGAGAACUGAACCAAGUUAAGGUUUAUUGGUUUAUUUUGCAGGCUUGGUCACUGUUUACUUUCGGGUCUAACUUCCUAAGGACAUUAAUUUUCUCUUCUUUCUUUUGAGUUAACUUUUCAUUGGUUCCUUUACUUAUUUU
rnacentral:lncRNA from 1 species